AUUCGGACCCAUCGCCAUCCUUUCCAUCGCCGCCUCUUUUCUCGCUCGUACAGUUGUGGAUUAUUGAAACGCAGAUCCCACGAGAAACCCGUCAGUCUCGCAGUCUUUCAAUGAAGACACUGUUCCUAUUCAUACACUCGCCGUUCAAUGUUCAACUAAUCAGCUUUCUGAGCAAAAUGGUUGAAGGAACUUUGACGAUAAAACAUGUGAUAUCUCUCAAAGUCAAAAUUUUCAGUGCUACGAAAUAACCAAUCGUUCCAUUUGAUGAAAAAGAGAAAGAUCUCGUCUGAACGGACCAGUUAAUGACGGAGGAUCCAAUAUUAUUGAUGGUCCAGCAAAUAUUCGAAAUAUUCGAAUAUACUCGCAGCGUUCGCGCAGCUUGUAAAUCGGUUUGUCACUCAAUAAUGAUUGACGGAAGAACAUGGCGCAAUUUUAGGUCUGCCGUCAACGUCGUACCCUCGUAAUUCGACUUGUUAAACGGAUCCAUUAAGAAGACAUGGGUGCCAUUAACGACUCGGCGCUCCCUUUUCGAGGGAACGAGUUCGUGAAUCCUAGAGCUAUUAUAUAUUCUUACCACCGGAAUAUUUAAAUAAAUGCGACGAUAAUAAAUGAAAGGCAGUGAUGCUACUUUUCUGAUUCGAUUUUUGUAGCAUACCCGUAGCCCGCCAGUUUCAU